UGAAAUAGUGUUUCGAUGUCUGUUCUUUCA
rnacentral:piRNA from 1 species